AGUGAAUCUACAGGACACGAACGCCGACUGUCUGUGAUGUAACUUAGAGUCGUCUGCGGGAAAUCGAAAUGUUUUGAUUCUGCUGUUAGGGACAAUCCACAGCAUGCUACGAGUUGGUCGUGGAAUGGUGGCAAUAUGCCGGAGAGGGGCCAAGCAGAGGCAUUGGAAUCCUUGCAUGUGCAGAUCUCCUGUAUUUGCAAGUGGAUGCUCCUCCU
rnacentral:lncRNA from 1 species